rnacentral:rRNA from 1 species
AGUGAACGCUGGCGGUAGGCCUAACACAUGCAAGUCGAACGGCAGCACAGUAAGAGCUUGCUCUUACGGGUGGCGAGUGGCGGACGGGUGAGGAAUACAUCGGAAUCUACUUUUUCGUGGGGGAUAACGUAGGGAAACUUACGCUAAUACCGCAUACGACCUGCGGGUGAAAGCAGGGGAUCUUCGGACCUUGCGCGAUUGAAUGAGCCGAUGUCGGAUUAGCUAGUUGGCGGGGUAAAGGCCCACCAAGGCGACGAUCCGUAGCUGGUCUGAGAGGAUGAUCAGCAACACUGGAACUGAGACACGGUCCAGACUCCUACGGGAGGCAGCAGUGGGGAAUAUUGGACAAUGGGCGCAAGCCUGAUCCAGCCAUACCGCGUGGGUGAAGAAGGCCUUCGGGUUGUAAAGCCCUUUUGUUGGGAAAGAAAAGCAGCAGGUUAAUACCCCGCUGUUCUGACGGUACCCAAAGAAUAAGCACCGGCUAACUUCGUG